CCUACGGGGGGCAGCAGUGGGGAAUAGUGGGCAAUGGAGGAAACUCUGACCCAGCAACGCCGCGUGAAUGAUGAAGGUCUUCGGAUUGUAAAGUUCUUUUCGAAGGGAAGAAGAAAGUGACGGUACCGUAGGAAUAAGCAUCGGCUAACUACGUGCCAGCAGCCGCGGUAAUACGUAGGAGGCGAGCGUUAUCCGGAAUGACUGGGCGUAAAGGGUGCGUAGGUGGUUUGGCAAGUUAGUAGCGUAACUCCAAGGCUCAACCGUGGAACUCCUACUAAAACUGUUGGACUUGAGUGCAGGAGGGGCAACCGGCAUUCCUCUUGUCGCGGUGUCAUGCGUAGCUCUUAGGCGGCACCCCAGUGGCG
rnacentral:rRNA from 1 species